rnacentral:tRNA from 1 species
GGGGAUUUAGCUCAGUGGUAGAGCGCUUGCCUAGCAAGCGCAAGGCCCUGGGUUCAAUCCCCA